AACGAACGCUGGCGGCAUGCCUAACACAUGCAAGUCGAACGAGACCUUCGGGUCUUUGUGCGCACGGGUGCGUAAGGCGUGGGAACCUGCCCUUGGGUUCGGUAUAACUCCCCGAGGGGGAUGCUAAUACCGGAUAAUGUCUUCGCACCAAAGAUUUAUUGCCUUUGGAUGGGCGCGCGUUGGAUUAGCUAGUUGGUAGGGGAAAAGCCUACCAAGGCGACGAUCCAUAGCUGGUCGGGGAGGAUGAUCAGCCACACUGGGGCUGAGACACGGCCGAGACUGGUAGGGGAGGGAGGAGGGGGGAAUAUUGGACGAGGGGCGAAAGCGUGAUCCAGCAGUGUCGGGUGAGUGAGGAAGGAGUUAGGGUUGUAAAGCUGUUUGAAACGGGAUGAUAAUGACAGUACCGGGAGAAUAAGCUCCGGCUAACUACGUG
rnacentral:rRNA from 1 species